UAAGCUAAGGAAAAAGAAAUAAGUGAGGUGGAAGGGGAGUAAUACGUGUAAUGUGUGUGUGAAAAAGAAUUAGGAUAGAUGUUUGAGUCUUCCCUCUCACCCUCAUUUAUCUCUUUCUCUCCAUGUCUCUUCUCUCUCUCUGUAAUUUAUCCAACCACCCUGCUCUCUCCCUCCGUUCAGCUACACACCUCAGCCCCGAAAUCGCCGGCAAAGUCGUCGGGAUGCCGAAAGCGCACAUAGCUUACCCAAGUUCCAAUUCCCAUUAGUUUAUCUCCAUAUCAGAAAUUGAAAUUCAAACCCACAUCAAACCAAUAUCCAAAAUAGGUGCAGUGGGAGGUGAACACGGUGCAAGCACAAGCAAUAAGGGAAAGGAGCACCUCCAUGGUUGACUAAGCCAGUAAUAGUGUUUUUUUUGACGUGUACAGGUAGUGUACGCGUGUUCUAGAAUUUAAUUCCUUUAACUUCGAUAAAUAUUACUAUUUGUUUGUGUGAUUCGUAUACUUAUGCCAUAGAGCUUAAAAAUGAUUGUGUGGAUUUUGUAUACUUCAAAGUGAUGCAAAUAGCUAUAUGUGUUGAAUAAUGUGAAAGUUGAUGUGAAAUAAUUGCGUUACGCCCCAUUGCUUGA